CAUGAUGUGGACUAUGGUCGUGCAUUUGCGUGUUCUCUGGACGUGACGCCAAAAUUGUGCUGUCAUGGGAAGCAUUGUACGCCAUGCUUGUGGAGCAACGUCUCUUUGAGUAUUUCUCCAGAUCCUGACGAUGAAGAGGACAGCGCUAUUGUGGAAUCAGAAAAUGAAGAUGAAUACAGUGGAGAAUUGGAUUCAAGAUGCGUUCCCACACCCAACAACACACCAGAAGGUCGAAGAAACUCUCUCAGUGAAGACCAUA